GGGUUAACGCUGGCGGCGUGCCUUACACAUGCAAGUCGAACGGGGCUAUCAGCGAUGGUAGCCUAGUGGCGAACGGGUGAGGAAGACGCAGGGACCUACCGACCAGAGGGGGAUACCCGCUGGAAACGGCGGAUAAAACCGCAUACGCCCGGGUGAAAGCCCGGGGAAAAGCACUACGGUGUUACUGGACGAGGAGCCUGCGUCCCAUCAGCUAGUUGGUAGGGUAACGGCCUACCAAGGCAAUGACGGGUAGGGGACCUGAGAGGGUGGCCCCCCACAAUGGAACUGAAACACGGUCCAUACACCUACGGGUGGCAGCAGUAGGGAAUAUUAGAAAUGGGCGGAAGCCUGAUCUAGCAACACCGCGUGUGCGAUGAAGGCCUUCGGGUCGUAAAGCACUUUUUGGAGGGAAUAGGAAGGAAGGUACCUCCAGAAUAAGUCUCGGCUAACUACGUGCCAGCAGCCGCGGUAACACGUAGGAGGCAAACGUUAUCCGGAUUCACUGGGCGUAAAGCGCGUGCAGGUGGUUUCGUAAGUAGGGCGUGAAAGCUCCCGGCUCAACUGGGAGAGGCCGUACUAAACUGCGGAGCUAGAGGAUGGUAGAGGGAGGUGGAAUUCCAGGUGUAGUGGUGAAAUGCGCAGAUAUCUGGAGGAACACCAGUGGCGAAGGCGGCCUCCUGGACCAUACCUGACACUCAGACGCGAAAGCUAGGGUAGCAAACGGAAUUAGAGACUCCGGUAGUCCUAGCCCUAAACGAUGCAGACUAGGCGUCGGCGGUUUAAUCACCGUCGGUGUCCAAGCUAACGCGAUAAGUCUGCCGCCUGAGGACUACGGCCGCAAGGCUAAAACUCAAAGGAAUUGACGGGUCCCCGCACAAGCAGCGGAGCGUGUGGUUUAAUUCGAUGCUCCGCGAAGAACCUUACCUGGGUUUGACAUAACAGUGGUAGAGAAGUGAAAACGGACCGACCCUUCGGGGAGCUGUUACAGGUGUUGCAUGGCUGUCGUCAGCUCGUGUCGUGAGAUGUUCGGUUAAGUCCGCUAACGAGCGCAACCCGCGCUGUGUGUUACAAGUGUCACACAGUACCGCCGGUAUUAAGUCGGAGGAAGGUGCGGAUGACGUCAAGUCAGCAUGACCUUUAUAUCCAGGGCUACACACACGCUACAAUGGUCAGCACAAUAGGUUGCCAAGCCGCAAGGCGGAGCCAAUCCUCCAAAGCUGGCCUCAGUUCAGAUUGCAGGCUGCAACUCGCCUGCAUGAAGUCGGAGUUGCUAGUAACCGCAGGUCAGCAUACUGCGGUGAAUACGUUCCCGGGGAU
rnacentral:rRNA from 1 species